GGGGAUUUAGCUCAGAGGCACAAGCACCUGCUUGGCAAGCAGGAGGUUGUGAGUGUGAUCCCCA
rnacentral:tRNA from 1 species